rnacentral:rRNA from 1 species
GAUUACCUACGGGGGGCAGCAGUGGGGGAUAUUGCACAAUGGGGGAAACCCUGAUGCAGCGACGCCGCGUGGGCGAAGAAGUAUUUCGGUAUGUAAAGCCCUAUCAGCAGGGAAGAAGAAAUGACGGUACCUGAGUAAGAAGCACCGGCUAAAUACGUGCCAGCAGCCGCGGUAAUACGUAUGGUGCAAGCGUUAUCCGGAUUUACUGGGUGUAAAGGGAGCGUAGACGGCUGUGCAAGUCUGAAGUGAAAGGCCGGGGCCCAACCCCGGGAGUGCUUUGGAAACUGUGCGGCUAGAGUGUCGGA